rnacentral:lncRNA from 1 species
UUUUUAAGUAAAAAUAUCUGAAUUACUAUGAUUUUAUUAAACUUUUGGUCUUGUAAAGAAUGUGUCUUUAUAAGCCGGGCGUGGUGGCACAUCCCUUUAAUCCCAGCACUUGGGAGGUAGAAGCAGGCGGAUUUCUGAGUUGAAGGCCAGCCUGGUCUACAGAGUGAGUUCCAGGACAGCCAGGACUACACAGAGAAAUCCUGUCUCAAAAAAACCAAAAAAAAAAAAAAAAAAAAAAAAAAGUAAAAAAUAAAGAAAAAUAAAAGAAAGUGUCUUCAUUUUAUAAUGCCUAAUUAAGAUUGCCAUUCACAUUAAUGAGAUAAAAUUAGCCAUAGAUGACAAUUCUUUAAAAGUAUUGAGAAAUACAAAUGAGUAAGGGAAAUGACAACAACUUUCUUUGUGUGGGAUUUUCGAUUAGACCUUACUAAAACUCUUCUAGUUAAUCCUCUCACCUAUAUUUAUCUUUUGUUUCUUCUACUUCCUCUUCAUAACCUGAACUAUCCACAAAAAUUUCAAAGAAGAAAAGAAGUCUUGUUUUCGUCUAAGAGAAUGGAAUGGUAGGUCUUAAGGGCUGUCGGUCUUGCAUAUCUAUACUCUUGACUCCCUUAAAACACAGCACUACAAGCAGGGGAAGGCUUGCUCUCUCCUCAAAUAGAAGCACUUGGGAUCGUGAGAACUGAUUAUACUUCCAAGAUGUCCCUUGGGAGGAAAUUUCAAAUGAAAAAGCGCAUGCAUAAAAUUAAUUGCAGUUCCUGGAGUCUGCAAAAUGAUCUGAGGGUGAGGCAGAUCACUUAAUAAUCUCCAAAAUAAUCUGUCUUCAGAGUGUAAGGUCACUGAUGGAGAGCUUGAAGUUUUUCUUCAUUGCAAUCAGACCUAGGAAAUGAACAAAUUUUCCUCUGGCCACCUGGUAGUGGGUUGUACAUCAAAUCAGUCAAUGACUUCGCUCAUAAAAUCUAAUUAUUAUUUCACCAUCAGUAAAGAGCACUAAACAAACAGCUUCAAACUCUUGUUCUGUAAAACAGAUGAUCAAGGCUCAGAGUCAAGGGAACAUAAAACAGAUUUGGUUGUUGUUGUUGUUGUUGUUGUUGUUGUUGUUGUUGUUAUUAUUGUGGUUGUUUGUUUUUGUUUUGUUUUGCUUUGCUUUGCUUUGCUUUGUUUUUGUGGGUCCUUAGAAAGGAGACAAUGAGGACUAGAUAGGUGAUGUCACUUUCCAGUUCUGGGCCAUACGGCUGUUCUUUUAUGGCCUCUGUGGAUACUUGCACAUAUGUGGUCCAUGUCUUAUUGGAGAUUGGUCCUCAGGUGCUUAACUGAGUAUUAAGACAUGCUUUUGUACCUUGUACUGUUCUAUCUCAUUGCUAUUAAAAAAGUCCCCACCAGAUAGAUGAAGUACCUGAUAAGGCGACUUCAUUUGUACAGUGCCCAUAAGAUUAUCAGAAGUGCCAGAUCCCCUGAAUUUGGAUUAAAGAUGGUUGUGGUUGGUCAGAAUUUAACCUGAGUCCUCUUAGUGAGCAGCCAGUGCUUAAAACCACUAAGCCACCUUUCCCUUCCCAUCUACAUUUAUGCCAUUGCAAUUAGUCCUUGUUAAAUAUUUCUACAUAAAUUUUACACAGAGAUUUAUGCACACAUUUUAAGUAAUUGCUUAUAUUUAUUUAUGUGUGUGCUUGUUUGCCAAUUGUGUGCCAGAAUCUAGAACAUUGGAAUGUCGGAAUGUUUCCUGACUGGGUGCUGGGAACUGAACAAGAGUCCUUUGGAAGAAAAACAAACACUCUUAAAUACUGAGCCAUCAUGCCUGGCCAUCAUAUUUAUGAGACAGUUUUAUGUCUCAUCUCCACCAUUUAAAAAUAGCAUAUGGAAAUAUUUUCACACCACUUGGUUCAUUUCUGACUGUUUCUUAUCCUCCGUGGUUCCUAUUUUAAAAUAUUUGUAUCCCUGAUUAUCUAUAUAAUACACAGUAUAAUCCUGCAGUUAAGUUUACCUGGAUCUGGAUAGAGUUCUGUGAUAAACGGCUUUCCCUUGGUCCACUACC